rnacentral:tRNA from 1 species
GCGGAUAUAGUUCAAUGGUAAAAUAUCUCCUUGCCAAGGAGAAAACGCGGGUUCGAUUCCCGCUAUCCGCC